GCCUGGCUGGCUCAGUUGGUAGAGCACAUGACUCUUGAUCUUAAGGUCACAAGCUUGAUCCCCGUGCUGGGUG
rnacentral:tRNA from 1 species